rnacentral:tRNA from 1 species
GUCCGAAUAGUGUAGUGGUUAGCAUAUGGGUCUGUGGAUCCCAUGACUCGGGUUCGAAUCCCGGUUCGGACC